GGUCAAGAAUAUGAAUUUGGUACUGACGGUCGCGGAUCUCAUAGAACCUGGUCAACUGGACUGUUCUCGUGUUUCGACGACUGGUCUUCAUGUUUGCUAGGCUUUCUCUGUCCAUGUUGCCUGGCCAUGACCAUCAGUUGUACCUUAAACGAAUGCUGUUGCACUGCAAACUGCUACCCCGUCGCAACCAGAACCAAAAUACGAACCGAAUAUAACAUUAUAGGAACGAUCUGCGAAGAUGCUUAUGUAUUGUGUUGGUGCUAUCAAUGUGCUCUGUGUCAAAUGGCGAGGGAAAUCGAUGACUCUGGUGAUGACAGUCACACAGAAUAAACAAUUGCAGUAUAAUAUAUGCCAUGUUCAGAACUGAUUUAGCACAUUAUUGUAUACACACUCAUGAGAACUUAUCAGCUUACGUUACCGAAUACUGAUCAUACCUAAUAUUCUGAUGU